UACGUAGGGGCCAAGCGUUGUCCGGAUUUAUUGGGCGUAAAGAGCUCGUAGGCGGUUGGGUAAGUCGGGUGUGAAAACUCCAGGCUCAACUUGGAGAUGCCACCCGAUACUGCUCUGACUUGAGUUCGGUAGGGGAGUGGGGAAUUCCUGGUGUAGCGGUGAAAUGCGCAGAUAUCAGGAGGAACACCGAUGGCGAAGGCAGGUCUCUGGGCCACUACUGACGCUGAGAAGCGAAAGCAUGGGGAGCGAACAGG
rnacentral:rRNA from 1 species